rnacentral:rRNA from 1 species
GACGAACGCUUGCGGCGUGCCUAAUACAUGCAAGUUGAGCGCUGAAGGUUGGUACUUGUACCAACUGGAUGAGCAGCGCACGGGUGAGUAACGCGUGGGGAAUCUGCCUUUGAGCGGGGGACAACAUUUGGAAACGAAUGCUAAUACCGCAUAAAAACUUUAAACAAAAGUUUUAAGUUUGAAAGAUGCAAUUGCAUCACUCAAAGAUGAUCCCGCGUUGUAUUAGCUAGUUGGUGAGGUAAAGGCUCACCAAGGCGAUGAUACAUAGCCGACCUGAGAGGGUGAUCGGCCACAUUGGGACUGAGACACGGCCCAAACUCCUACGGGAGGCAGCAGUAGGGAAGCUUCGGAAAUGGACGAAAGUAUGACCGAGCAACGCCGCGUGAGUGAAGAAGGUUUUCGGAUCGUAAAACUCUGUUGGUAGAGAAGAACGUUGGUGAGAGUGGAAAGCUCAUCAAGUGACGGUAACUACACAGAAAGGGACGGCUAACUACGUG